ensembl:lncRNA novel transcript
GUCCACGCGCUGCGGCCUUGGAGUAACUGCUGUUCUUAAAGGCUGCCUCCGUCCUGCCGCGCGGCCUUUAGAGGGUUGGAGCUGGCAGAACCGUAACUCCCUCUCUGAGGGUGAAUACGGGCCUUGAUUGCCAGAAGGGCCCUCGGCCGGGGACGCGGGAUGAUGCGGGGCCGGGAGAUGCUUUCCUGGAGGCUGAGAAACCUGGAGGGAGACCCCCAAAACUUCUCAGUUCGCCGACCCCUUGGUCCCAGAGGGAGAGGAGCAGUUUCCUGCGGAGUUCCAGUGUCUUCAGCAGAUCACCAUUGCUUUCAACUUUGGAAGGAGCAGGCCUUCUGGGGACACCCAAGACAUUCCUGGGCAGAGUUCCAAAGGAAGCUGGAGAUGACCUAGAGCCUUUGGCUUCUCCGCCUAACAUCCGCUUGGGCAGGGAAGGGGAGAGAAGGAGAACACGAAGUGAGGCAUGGGAAUGAGACAAUGGUGGGAAAAGAGGACGCUGGAAGGAAGAUCUACUCUUCCAGUCUGCAGGUGGCCCCCGAGGAGCCGCAGUAGGUCAUGCAUCCCCAAAGAACAUUCAAGUCUGAGCCUCAAGGAGCCUCUGCGACUCGGUGUCUAGAUCCAGGAAAUGGAGAAUGAGCCGUGACUUUGGAUGCUUCACUCUUGUCCAUCAGGCUCGGAAUUGGUGAGCAUCUCCCACAUUACCGUCUCCAACGGAACAAGGUGCCCCAUUGGACAUUUCCUCUGCAUGGACCAGCCAUUCUCCAAAUCUGCCCCCAUGUCACCCCAGCUCCCCAUCGCAGUCACUUCUCACUCCUUGUCCCCUGUCCCCCUGAGUGACAGGACUUUUGCCAGUUAGGUCCUGUCCCUGUUUCUGAUCUUGGGUCCAUUCCCCAUGGUCCCUUUCUUGCUUGUGCCUUGGGAUCUCAGGCCUGUUGAAGUAGGAGGCAGGACUCAACUUCAGACCAGAUUGAAGACUGGCUGACACAGAAGAGGCACCAAAAGCACCUCUCUCUCCAUAAGACAUGCCCACCAGUGCCAUGACAGUUUACCAUUGCUAUGGCAAUGCCCAGAAGUUCUCACCCCUUUUCCAGACAUUUCUGCAUAAUCUACCCCUCAAUUGGCAUGUGAUCAAAAGUGGGUGUCAAAAUGACUGUGGAACUGUCCCUGAGCUGCUACUCUUGACAUGCUGGUUACAGGGUAGCCCGGCUCUGCAGGGACAGUCACGGAGCUGAAAAACUGCUGCCUAAUGAAGCUGUUUUCUUCUA